AGAUGGUUUCCAGAGUUAGUUCCUUACAAGCAUUUCCUCUUGAAACAUCGGGAAUCUAAAUAAAGAGAAAGGUGUCUAAUGGUCUAGUCUACCAACUUCACUAUGCUGAUUUAUGAAAGAAUUGCUGAAACCCAGUGAAUAAUAGCAUUUGCCCUUCUUUCUCAAAAAAGCAGCAUUUGCUUUCUUCUGGCAAGGAAUAAUUAAGCUAAUUUCUCCAUGAACCUUGGAAAAAGUGGCAACGAAUAAUGGAUUUGUCCCUCAAAGAACAUUUCAAGCAAACAUCUUAUCAGCUACAAAUUCAUUUGAGGCAGUUCCAGGUCAGCCACAGGCAAUUUUUCUCAUUAAAAUACUGUUUAAACUGUUGUAUCCAGAUGACACAGGAGACAUAUCAGACAAACAACACCUGCAAGAAGAAUUGGUGAAGUAUUGACUUUUCAUCAAUCAAAAAGUUUACUAAGCAGAUGAAAAUAAUUUGCCUUCACAGUGACAUUUUCCUGACGUCUUGCUAGUACUUAAAGGCAUUGUUUUUUCUUUAACACCCAAACUUUAAUUACCAGAAAAGGUUAGCAUCAAAACAAAGGACAUGUUGGUAAUUUAGAGGCCAUAUCAGAAAAAUAAAUUCAUUUUGGUUUGAAUGAAUUUUUUGUCUUGUCUCCUUCUCCCCCUUUGGCCACAUCCCCCUCCCCCA
rnacentral:lncRNA from 1 species